AAAACAUUGCUGAUCAUUCAUCUCGUACGAGUCUCUUUCUUCUUUCGUUAUCACUCAAUAGGUUUGGUUUUUUAUUUUUAUUUUGUGUCUAUCAUCAUUAUCGAUCAUCGAGAGUAAAACAAUUAAUGAAAAAUAUGUUCGUUUGAUAAAACGGCUUACUCAGAAGCGUUAAGUUUUUUAAACUCAAUUCCAUUAAUUGCAAUGCAUUUUACUGUUAUUUUGUAGAAGUAAAGCAGUUUAAUGAGAGUGAGUUGUUAAAGCUUCAAAAUUGUUCGGAGGAAAACAAUGACCGUACGGAUGCCUUAACGGAAGUUUCGAAGAUCAUACGAGGACUGAUGGAUGGAUGAAUGGAUACAUAUCCGAUGAAAUGCGAGAAGAAAAACUCAUAGUUGCGUUCCAUGAAUUGCCCUAAUUUUCUCUUUCCCGUUUUUCUCCUCAUCUGUCUUUUCUUACUUUUUAUCUCUCUGCUGGUUGGAUAAAAAGCAAAAAGAAUUGAAGAGGAGGUAGAAAUACGUUGAGAUUUAUCGACUGUGCGAGGCUUAUCACGAACGAACAGCGAACAAUGCACAAAUCAUACAAGGAAAAGAAAAAAAAGGAAAAAAAAGAGAUAGAAAGAGAUAGAAAGAGAUAAAGGAAAUGUUCGAUUUGGUCUCCUACCUUGGUAGUCUUAAAAAAACAUUACAACCCUAAAGGUAGUAGGUAGUGUAAAGGAUAAGGAGUAUAGAAAAAAGGGAGCGGUGGUGUCUGCCAACAAUGAGUACUGUCUCUCCUGUCAGGUCGCGUGAUUACAGCCAAGGAUGAGAAGAAAAAGGAAAAGGGCUCUUCUACAAUACUAGCGACGGAUAAAAUGCCAAAGGGUCUACACGUUCUUCGAGUAGACAACAACAACAGUAACAGUAACAGAACAGCAACACCAGCAAUAGUCACGGCAGAAGUAGUAACAGCAAUAGUAGUAACAGCAGCAGUAGUAACAGCAGCAGUAGUAACAGCAGCAGUUAUAGAAGCAAGAAGAGAACUUCGUAGACACGAUUCAAUCUGCAAUAUUAACAACUUGAAGUUCACGCAAAUCGAUCGAAAGUCUCGUUACAUCUCGGAAGAGACAUUUAAUAUUAAUUAGCAGAGGCUCUCUACAACUUGACGCGAACUUUCGAAUAAAACUUUACUGAAAUACAGCUAAAUUUGUUUAACCGAAGGAUUAGACUCUAGAUUUUCAAUAGAAAGUAGCAAGUAAAAUACUAUACUUUAAAAAAAUAUAAUCUAAUCAAAGUAUUUUUCUUCAAAGUACAAUAUUCUUAAUUUAACCAUGCAAAAGAUUAGUUACUUCAACGUUGCUUAUCUAGAUGAUAAAAAUACUGAAUAUAAUAGAAAGAAAAAGAGAGAGAAUCAUGAAAGAAUAUCAUCAGAGUCUCAGGGACCACUCUUACAACUAUCGUCCUCUGGGAUCUCUUCUUCCCUUUACGCUCUUUCGCGUACUUGGAAGGAUAUGCGAAAUUUCCUAGGGCGAUAUGGGUGCAAGGAGAAGAAGGGUGUUAGAGAGAAAGAGAAAGAGAGAUAGAGAACCGAUAUAAGGCGGCAAGAGGGUGAACUCGAGGCACCAAACGUGCGACGGCGUACGUUAUCGCGACCCUCUCUUUCUCUUUCUCUCCAACACACUUACACCGCGAAGGCAUUACUUUUCUCUCCCCGUGUAUAUUUCCAUAGCUGCUACUGCUACUGCUACUGCUACUGCUGGUGGUGAUAGUGAUAGUGGUGGUGGUGGUGGUGCUACUGCUGUUGCUCUACUCCGUUUGUCCGUACCGGAGUAUAUACGUGUACAAGUUGGUUUGCCGCCUCCGUCUCGGCCGGUCGAUAACGUUACGCGUCGGGCCCGAAAACGGUGCUCUUCUCCUUUAGAAGUUCUUGCGCUUGGUGGCUUAGGGGGUCUCGCUUUGCGAUCUAGCGAUCUCGCGCGUACUCCACUUUUCCUUUGGCCACCAAAGCCGAGUAGGUCGCGUGUAAUCUAGACGGAAACGUCGGUCUGAAAGAACGGGGGUGAGGGAGGGAUGAUGGUGGCGAAAGGGGUUGCUGCAAAGAGUGAGCGAGCGAACGAACGAACGAGCGAAUGAGAAAGCUAUUUGCGGAAGAUAUGGGUCGGCUACCCCGAAUGGGAAAGACUGCCGUUGGCUGUUGCUGACUGCUGUUGCUGCUGCUACUGCUACUGCUACUAUUGCUAUUGCUAUACUGAUAUACUCCUACUGGCGCUGGGCUGACUCUUUUUCUCAAACGUUGAUGCAAAGCAAACUACCAGGGUCCAAGAAGAUGAACGCGAGAAACAACGCGUGGGCUUAUUACGCCGUUGAAGAAGCGACCGUCGUGCUAGGUGGCCCUACGACAUUGCAAGCUAGUUUGAUAGGGAGACUGGAUAAGCAGAGAAGGAAACGAGAGAGAAAGCUAAUCGACGAGGACAUUCAUAUGAGAUAAAUUAAACUCUAUCUCGCCUUACGUGUUUCGUUCACUUUUACUCUCACAAAUUUCAUUAUGUUUUACGUAAAAAAAAAAAAAAAAAAACUUUAC